rnacentral:tRNA from 1 species
UCCUCCUGUACUUUUAAAG